CUGGUUUUUGCUUACACAGCCUGGCCCUGCCCUCUGGCUGUAUGCCAUUUGUGAUUUUUAGCCCUGCUGGAAGUUACACUCUCUACAAGGGUAAAGCAAACUGGGAGGUGCUGGUUCUGGCUCCAGAGGGACUGGGGUCUGGGGCCUGUCACCUGGUCCUGCCUGUGUUUCCUGGGAGGAGGACCUGGUUGAUAGAAGAAUUUAUCUCGUAGUCUUAACAUCCACUGUAAUUCCAAACUUUGAGGACGAUAGAGAUCAGUGGGCUUUGACUGCCCAGCAUGCAGUCUCCAUUCUUAGGUGGGUUCCCAAGCCUGUAAAAUGUAAGCCUUAUGCUGCUGAGGGCCAUCUUGCCACCCUGAGGGAAACGCUGCCUGAGAAUGAAACAAGCAUAAGUAAAAGCUGAGCUGUGAGAUGGAGCAAGAUGAAGGCCACAUGACAUCUUUGGAGCACCUGGAUCUAACUGUGCCUUAAGCUAGUCUAACCCUGAACAUUUCAUCAUUUCAUUGACAUGAGCCCAGGUUUUCUUUUUUUUUGGAUGGAGUCUUGCUCUGUCGCCCAGGCUGGAGUGCAGUAGCUCAAUCUCGGCUCACUGCAAGCUCCACCUCCCGGGUUCACGCCAUUCUCCUGCCUUAGCCUCCCAAGUAGCUGGGACAACAGGCGCCCACCACCACUCCCAGCUAAUUUUUUGUAUUUUUAGUAGAGACGGGGUUUUACCAUGUUAGCCGGGAUGGUCUUGAUCUCCUGACCUCAUGAUCCGCCCGCCUCGGCCUCCCAAAGUGCUGGGAUUACAGGUGUGAGCCACUGCACCCAGCCCUCAGGUUUUCCCUUUUUUUACCCCUCCUUUUGAAAAUUUGAUGUGGAAUUUUGCCACCUGCAGCCAGAAGAGUUUUAACUAAUCAGUGCCAUAAAUUUUAUAUAGUUCUCCUUGCAAAAUGUGGAUCAGCCUUUCUCAGCAAAUCCUUUGUCAUAAAGUGCUGAAUUGUAAGUUUGUCAUGAGAAUCACAUGAGAUCAUGCAUGUGAAGAACCUGGCAUUAUCCUCCUCAUAGAAAAAAACCAGUAAAUAUUAACUACAGGAAGCAAGGAAGGAGUGGGGUGAGGGGAAGAAGAAGGGGUACUGAUUUAAAAGAACCCUGGAGUCCUAAGGAUAAUCUAGGAACCCUCAGACCCAAUCCGAUACCCCUAUUCUAAAUGCUCCUAGUGCCCUGUACCUUCCCCUCAUAAGCCUUCAUUAUCAUUGUAAUGAUAUGUUUAUGUAAUAUUUUGAUUAAUGUCUCUCCUUCACUGACCUAGCAGUUCUAGCAGGGCAGUGAUUUUGCUGUGUUGCAUCCCCAGCACCUAGUCUGGUAUGUGGCAUUCAGCAUAUGUUUAUUGAAUGAAUGGCCAUGUGGUUAUUCAGAUCCUCCUUGAUUAUUGGGGUUAGGAUUGUGGCAGAAGUGGCAAAAUCAGGGAGAGUAGUCCCUGUCCCCUCUGUAUCUUAUACACUGCCCACACUCCCAACACACAUACACAUACAGAGAAUUUUGUCUCAAUUAGAUAAUUAACUUCUGCUUGGUUGUAAACCAAACCACUGGUUCUUAAACUUUCAUUGGAUCAUUUUAUUGAAGAAUUAAAUAGUGUGGUUCUGGCCUAAUGUCUGGAAAGCCUUGCAGAGGAGUGGAUUAGGUCUUUGUGAUAAACAGGCAGCCUUCCCUGCUCCUGUGUCUUUAUAAAAUCUAUUUAACUGGAGUAGUCCACCCUCCCUCAGGCUCUUACAGGAAUAUGUUGGAGGCUGUAGGAAGGUGGGAAACCGAGAGGGAAAGGACUGGGCCGCUGGAGACUUCACUCAUUCCCUAGCAAGAAACAAAAGCAGUAAAAGGUGGCCCGAGGACAACCUGAAGCUCACUCCUUCAGCACUUUUGGCUGGAGGUCACUUGUUGGAGCCCCACUCAGAGCUCAGCACACCACCCCACCAGCAGCCUCCUCCUCCCAGCUGAGGCUGCAUUUCAUCCCUUCCCCCAGCCUGCUUUCCCUGAGAUAGGGGAGUGUUUCCCAGGGCCCAUGUGACUUCCACUGGCAAGUGACGAUUACCAAUGGUUUACUAGUCAGUGAAACUACCAAAGGCUUUUGUGCUGUAGUAAUCCUUUUCCUGUUUAAAACUCUGGGGAUUUUCUAAUGUUGCCAAUAGUUUUUCAAGUCAGCAAUUACUGUGUGGAUUAUGUAAUGGCUCGGUAUUAAAAAUAGAAAAGACUGGAGUUUGCAUCUAUUUUAACCAAAUCUUGAAAACAGAGCAAAGGGAGGGGAAGGGUGGAGAGGGAGAGACCAGAGGAGGAGGGAGAAAAAGAGAUCAUGUGACUGGAUAAGACAGCUCACAAUUCACUGUGCCUUUCUCCCACCAUUUGUGGCCCAAGGACCUGUACUCCCUCCUCAGCCUCCUCUAGGGAGGGGUCCUUGAUGAGAAUUCUGAGGACACAAGACCCCUUGUGGAUAUUUCUUAGCUCAGCCUUGGUGUGCUUACCUGCUUCUGACAAGCAAAGUGGCCAAGUAGGGGAGGGAGUUGAAUCUGAUGUCCUCCACUAAGUCCAGGACUCCUAUUUUGUUUUGUUUUGUUUUUGAGACGGAGUCUUGCUCUGUCACCAGGGUGGAGUGCAGUGGCACAAUCUCGGCUCACUGCAACUUCUGCUGCCUGGGUUCAAGUGAUUCCCCUGCCUUAGCCUCCUGAGUAGCUGGGACUGCAGGUGCGCACCACCACGCCUGGCUCAUUUUUUGUAUUUUAGCAGAGAUGGGGUUUCACCAUGUUGGCCAGAAUGGUCUCAAUCUCCUGAGCUUGUGAUCCACCCACCUCAGCCUCCCCAAGUGCUAGGAUUACAGGUGUGAGCUAC
rnacentral:lncRNA from 1 species